rnacentral:rRNA from 1 species
GUAGGGAAUUUUCGUCAAUGGGCGCAAGCCUGAACGAGCAAUGCCGCGUGAACGAGGAAGGUCUUCGGAUCGUAAAGUUCUGUUGAAGGGGAAAAAGAGCGGAGAGAGGAAAUGAUCUCUGAUUGAUAUUACCCUUCGAGGAAGUCACGGCUAACUACGUGCCAGCAGCCGCGGUAAUACGUAGGUGGCGAGCGUUAUCCGGAAUGAUUGGGCGUAAAGGGUGCGUAGGCGGCCUGCUAAGUCUGGAGUGAAAGGUACCGGCUCAACCGGUACAGGCUCUGGAAACUGGCGGGCUAGAGAGCAGGAGAGGGCGGUGGAACUCCAUGUGUAGCGGUAAAAUGCGUAGAUAUAUGGAAGAACACCAGUGGCGAAGGCGGCCGCCUGGCCUGUUGACUGACGCUGAGGCACGAAAGCGUGGGGAGCAAAUAGGAUUAGAAACCCUAGUAGUCC